GAUGAACGCUGUCGGUAUGCUUAACACAUGCAAGUCGAACGGUCACUUCGGUGUUAGUGGCGGACGGGUGAGUAACGCGUGAGAAUCUGUCUUCAGGUCGGGGACAACAGUUAGAAAUGACUGCUAAUACCGGAUGUGCCUUUGGGUGAAAGAUUUAUUGCCUGAAAAAGAGCUCGCGUCAGAUUAGCUAGUAGGUGGUGUAAGAGACUACCUAGGCUCCGAUCUGUAGCUGGUCUGAGAGGACGAUCAGCCAUACUGGAACUGAGACACGGUCCAGACUCCUACGGGAGGGAGGAGUGGCGGAUUUUGCGCAAUGGGCGAAAGCCUGACGGAGCAAUGCCGGGUGAGGGACGAAGGCUUUUGGGUAGUAAAGCUCUUUUCUCAAGGAAGAUGAUGACGGUACUUGAGGAAUAAGCAUCGGCUAACUCUGUG
rnacentral:rRNA from 1 species